GCCGAGGUGGUGGAAUUGGUAGACACGCUAUCUUGAGGGGGUAGUGGGCACUCCCUGUGCGGGUUCGAGUCCCGCCCUCGGCA
rnacentral:tRNA from 1 species